GACCCUUCCUCACGUCCGUCUGCGUCCGCAAUAAAUGCGUAGCAGAAGGGUGCUGCGCUUUGCUAACGUCGUCGGGAUUCAUCUUCUUCCCCUGUCCCCCUCCGAACACUGCAACUACAUCCGUCCCCGUCACCUUCUUGAAUCCCCCAAACCAUCGCCAAGAUCUACACCGUCCUCCUCGUCUUCUUCUCUCUCAGUUUCUGCCUCUCUUGUACUUACAAGAGAACUCCCCUGAGAAUUCUGAGUGCCUUUGUCUUCGAGAAUUAUGCAGGCCUGGCGUUUCGAUCUGCUUAAAGAAGAAUUCCCCUUUGUUAGCUUGGUCUCUCCAUCUUGGUCCUGACAAGGUGUAGAGGUUUCGCCUUUUAGGUGUUUCAUUGGGUUGUGCCGCUGACCUCGAUUCCCUUUCGACUCUGGAUAGCGAGGAUGAAGGCGCUUGUACUUCCCCUGAUCGCGCCCUUCUUCUUUUUCCUGAGUCCGUGCGUCGGCAGCAUCCAGACGACCCAGCUCAGCCCCGGAUUCCAGGGCUCCGAAAUGGAGUGGAUCGACAACAAUGGGCUCUUCCUCUUGUCCAACAGCUCCGGCUUCGCUUUCGGCUUCACCACCUACAACAGUAGCGACACCACGUCCUUCCUGGUCUCGGUGAUCCACCAGGGGAGCGGCACCAUCGUCUGGACUGCCAACCGGGACGCGCCGGUGUCCCACUCUGACGAGUUCGUGUUCGACAAGGACGGCAGCGCCUACCUCAAGUCCGGUGGCGAUGUGAUAUGGUCAACGAACACCUCUGGCCAGGGAGCGACGCGGAUGGAGCUGCUGGACUCGGGCAACUUGGUACUCCUCGGCGGCGGCGACGGUAGCAGCAGCGCGUCGCCCCUUUGGCAGAGCUUCGAUCAUCCGACGGACACCCUCCUUUCUGGCCAGAGCUUCACCAAGGGAAUGUUGCUGGUGAGCGACCCCAGUGACAGUGGCUUGAGGUAUCAUCUCCGAAUCGACUCGGAGGAUGCGAAGCUCUUCGCGGAAUUCGCGUCACCCCAGCUCUACUGGUCCAUGCAGCGUGACGCUAGGAAGAUCGAUAACCAGGUCGGCGGGGACAUACGCUCCGCGGUGCUCGAAUCCAACUCAUGGAACUUCUAUGAUCAGAAUCAAUCUAGAAUUUGGCAAUUCAUCGUGGAUUCAGCUGAUACCAGUGAGAAUGUCACGCGAAUGGCUGUUUUAGACACCUCUGGCUCCAUCACAUUCUCGAUCCUCCCCAGCAGCGGCCAAAGAAACCCUUCGUCGGUCAAGAUCCCGGAAGACUCGUGUGAUACACCUGAGGCCUGCCAUCCAUACUUCAUAUGUUACCCGGGCAUCCGCUGUCAGUGCCCAAGCGUUCUCAGCUUGGACUCGAACUGUAAUCCCGGUAAUGUUUCUUCUUGUGACCCGAGCACUUCAUUCAAGCUUGCCAAAGUUGAUGAUGGAGUUGGGUAUUUCGCCACUAGUUUUGUCUCACCCAGUGCAAAGUCAAACGUGACAGGGUGCAAAGAUGCAUGCCUGGAUAACUGCUCGUGUGCUGCCUUAUUCUAUGAUGAGAAAUCCGGCAGUUGUUUUCUUUUUGAUCAGAUUGGGAGCUUCAAGCAGAUACAGAGCAACACAGCCAGUUACACUUAUAUCAAAGUGACCAGCAAUGCAGAUGGUGGCAAAGGAUCAAAUGGACAAGGAAGCAGUGGCAGCAAGACCUUGAUGAUUGUCCUAAUCAUCUCGUUCAUGACUGUUGCAGUGAUAGCAGCUCUCGUCUAUCUUGCUUGCAGGAUUCAUCGGAGGAAGAAAAUACCAGAACCAUCACAGGGGUCCUCAGAAGAAGAUAAUUUCUUGGAGGGACUAUCUGGGAUGCCGGUCAGGUUCAGCUACAGAGAGCUUCAAAUGGCUACAGAUGACUUCUCUGUCAAGCUCGGCGAAGGAGGGUUUGGCUCCGUCUAUCUAGGAAAGCUUCCCGAUGGCACAAGAAUCGCAGUGAAGAAAUUGGAAAGCAUUGGCCAGGGGAAGAAAGAGUUCCGCUCUGAGGUGAGCAUAAUAGGCAGCAUCCACCACAUUCAUUUGGUCAAACUUCGGGGUUUCUGUGCAGAAGGCGCACACAGGCUUCUGGCAUAUGAAUAUAUGGCAAAAGGAUCUUUAGAUAGAUGGAUAUUUAAAAAGAAUCAAAGAGAUUUUUCACUGGAUUGGGAUAAGAGGUAUAAUAUAGCUUUGGGCACGGCAAAGGGGUUAGCGUAUCUCCAUGAAGACUGUGAAUCAAAGAUAGUUCAUUGUGAUAUUAAGCCUGAAAAUGUGCUUCUAGAUGACAAUUACCACGCAAAGGUAUCAGAUUUUGGACUAGCAAAGCUUAUGACAAGAGAACAAAGCCAUGUAUUCACAACAUUGAGAGGCACGAGGGGAUACCUUGCACCAGAAUGGAUUACAAACUAUGCCAUAUCGGAGAAAAGUGAUGUGUACAGUUAUGGUAUGGUCUUGCUUGAGAUAAUUGGUGGCAGGAAGAACUUUGAUCCUGCAGAGACUUCUGAGAAAUCCCACUUUCCUUCAUAUGCUUUCAAAAAGAUGGAGGAAGGCAAGUUAAAGGAAAUUUUUGAUGCCGACUUGAUAUAUAAUGACAUGGAUGGGAGAAUGGAGACUGCAAUUAAAGUUGCCUUGUGGUGCAUUCAGGAGGACUUGUAUUUAAGACCAUCAAUGACUAAAGUAGUCCAAAUGCUAGAAGGACUACAAGAUGUCCCUCAACCUCCAACAUCAUCGCAGCUGGGCUUCCGGCUUUAUGCUAAUGCGUUCAAGGCUAUUAGUGAAGAGGGAACAUGUUCAGGUUCAGGGCCAUCAGACUGCAACAGCGAUGCAUUUCUAUCUGCUGUUCGCCUAUCUGGGCCUAGAUAGCAAGGGUAGUCCACUUUGAGUGCAGCCUGCCUUCCACUCACAAAGCAGCUGUUUCUGGUCCGUGAACCUGCUCCAUUGUGCCUAGGUAGGUACUGCCUCUAAUAUAUAAAUUGCUGCUGUACAAAAUUAAUUAUGAUUCAUCUGUUCAAACAAUAUUCUUAUAUGUGAAGAAGCUAAGGUGGAACCUUGCAUUGUUUGUAUUCUCCAUUUUCUUUUCAUCUCUUUUAAGUGUGAGCUGAAAAACCUACAGAACCAGUUUGCCACUGGUGUUUAUGUUCUUUGUUUCCAGAGUAGAUGUAUGCUUCAAAAGUUGUGGGGAUUAUUGAAAUAGGAUCUCUUUUACUUCUUAAAUAUUUAGAACCAGAAAUCAUCAUUCAUAUCAUCAAAACAUUCAUUCUUACAGAAAAUUCACUAAAAAUAUUUAGUAACAGAUCAUAAUACAUCAUUGGUUAGUUAUCUGCAACACAAUACCAGUCUCUGGAAUGCUUCAACUGCACUUACUUCAGUGGUGUCAUGGGAAGGUAUCUAAGAUUUGUUGAUAGCUUCUCGCAAACAGGAACACUGAUUCAUUUGAAACUGGGAAGUUUAUUUUCUGUAGUAUUGCAGGACUGGGAUCCUUUACGAGUAUUAUGUAGCAGAUAUUUUGCUCAAGCCGAGAGUUGAUAUUUAUUUUGAAGACGAGAUAGCUUUUGAUGGUGAGUCCUCUGUUGUAUGUCGUAGUGGAGAGAAAAAGACAUGCAACGGAACAGGGAUUUCUUGGCGAUUUAGAUUUGAGCCUUUAAAUUGCUGGGGAUAUCUGUUUCUAUGGAAGCGCGAGAGACUGCAGAGAGCCCGACAUCGGUAGCCGCGGCUGCAGGUUCCGAGGGCAAUGGGAGCAAGCCUAACGUCCGUAGCUUCCUCAGCGUCAAGCGUCCGGUAAGGUGCCCGUUGUCCUCACUUUUCCUGCUCGUCGGUAGUCACAUCCUUGUUCAGGUCUGGCUAGGGUUUCUUCAUGCAUUCACCACCGGGCUUCUCCCGAGCAGCGAGAUCGGCAGAGCGGAUGCUUCUCUGAAGAACAAGCCAGCGUUUGGAGAUGCAGGCGGAGCUGCAACACGUGUCGAUCCCAAUUUGAGACGAGUAUAUUAAACUCACAGUCACGUGGGCCCAACUUAACCGGGCCGGAAAUAGAUAUGAUGGUUUGGGCUUUCAGAUCACGGCGUGACGGGGGGAGGAAGUAGACUCUCUCUCUCCUCUGCAUUCCAGGCUUGGCAUUACAUUCCAUGAUUCGUAUCUAUCAUCUGGCUGUUGCUCGGUCGUAUAUGCAGUUGCUUGUUAUUCUCCUGAUAUCUGUAGACACCAAGAUACAUGCCAAGAAGAAACUUUCUUGAUUGUCGCUAGCAUCCUGUUGGCUUUCAGGGAACCUGUAUGAAGAAUUUACUCGGAAGCGGGGAUGGAUUCUGUGGUGGGUUGUCUAUGAUGCACAAGUGGAACAUUUCCACUUGUUUCUGAUUCCCGGAAGACGAAAACUACAAUUGCAUGAAGACCUGGCUGCCAUUGACUGGAACUAAUACAACUCAGCGUGUCAGGAUCUUCCUGGAACUUUCUAUGAUGUUGAUGCGCCAAUUUGCAGAUUGGAAUGCAUAGCCUUUGGACAUUUGUACAACAGAUGUUUCAGCAUCUCCACAACCACGAAUUCUCUAGUUCCAGAGAGUUCUUCUGGUUAUCUAGACAGAUGUGUUGAUGCAAUGGGAUGAUUCAUCAUAAAUUUCAUCUGUUUUGUCACCAAGAACGCAUGCUGUCCUUGUCCUCAUCGAUUUCUUCACCUUGGGGCUUGCUCAUUUAGGUGGUGAGAAAGGAAGAAAAGAACUUGUUGUCAUUAUCCAUCAAGGUUCUCAAUGAUCCGUCGCUCAGGGAUUAUUCUUAUCCUCCAGUAGUACAAGCUGCGACCUUCAAGAUGUAUUUCUACUGUACUUUUAUCCUGGGGAAGAAAUGAUGAAGCUUUGUUCCAAAUAUCUUUCUUUGGUAAAGUCAAUGUAGCAGUCACUCACCACACCAGGAACUAACUGCGUACACAAGAGACCUCUGCUCAUCUGUCGUUUGUGCCGACUGCAAUCGGUAACAAUGCAGUCCAAGCUUGGAGACGCCACAGUGAUGGCAGAAUGAAUCGAUCAUCUCGUCUCCAACUUAACUGGGAUCUUCGACUCCACUGGAUCUGCAACCAUUUUGGUAUGUUGGUACAUGCAUUCUUGUGUCUUCUGUGAGCCCUAUCUCGUAUUGCUACGCAUGAGAUAUUGAUGGACCACAGAGUUGGAUUUGGAUCGGUGACAUACUAUGUCGUUUUAAUUCAUCGGAAACAUGAUAUGUCGUGCUGUGAUUGGGUUGCUUCAUCUUGUGGCUGACAGAGGCACACAGGUAGAGCUCACUUGCGGGCGGUGGGGCUGAUGGAUCCGCUUGGCCUCCGUUGUUUUGUCCGGACGUGCCAACCGCCCGCAGGAGCAGAUGGGCUGCUGAUUCCUGCCGAUUCGAUGCAGGUGAAGCCACUCGUUCAAUUUAGAAGAUGGAGACCGGUGACCGAGUGAAGAAGAACCCAUGUUAGAAGAUGAUCAUGAUGAUGAUGCCAGGUUAUGAGAUGGUGGUCGUCGGUGUCGGGCAGUAAGAGCUCGGUCGACCUCCUCUUUUAACCCCGUCUCCUCGGGGAUUGUGAUCCAAGUAUGGGUUGCAUUGCACGAAUCUUCAAGAGGUGCCAGGGGAGAGCAAAUUGGAGUUGUGCAAAAGCAUGAAGGGCAGUGCUCAGAGGACCAAGAAAGAAAUGGGAAAUGAUAGCUUCUGACGUCGGGGAUAGGAUCAACUCAUGCAUGGGGGAGUUUUUGAUGGCAACGAUGAACAGUAUAAAUUAUCCGCAGCACGCCAACCACAGACAGCAUGAGCAAUCCAGUUCAAUUUCUUCUUCCUCACGAGAAGCUUGAUGGCUAAUUACAAGGUGAGAGAGAGAGAGAGAGAGAGAGAGAGAGAGAGAGUUUGAACGUGGAAGGGGUUACAGACGCGAUCGAGGGAUCAGUAACAGCAGGCCAUCCGCUGCAUGAGCCGAUCUUGGAGGAUGCCGUUGUACAGGGCCACCCUGUUCGCCGGCAUCCCUCGCGGCGCCCGCGGCCGCUCCUCCUCCGCCGCCUCUUGCUCCUGGUUUUCUUCUUCCGCCGCCGGGGGCUCACUGCAGCUGAACUCCGCCACUUCCGCUGCGAACUGGACUCUCUUCUUCUGCCGCUGCUGCUUCUUCGUUCUGUUUCCCGUCUUCCCUGCGUAUAUCGGCACAGUGUCAACUGGCUUAGAGAAACCAAAGCGGCAGAAGCAAACGGAGAAGGAGACGUGAAGGCUGACGGCGUACCGGAGAAGGAGAUGCAGGACCGCAGGUGGUGCCAAGGGGGAGUCGAGUUCCUAUCGGCGGCUGCGGCGCCGGCUCCAGCGGAGACGGAGAAGGGCUUCUGGCGGCAGAGGGCGAUGAGGAUGACGGUACCGGAGACGGCCACGGCAGUGGCCAGGGCCACCCCAUGAGAGGUCAUGGGAGAAGACGAAGAAAGCACAAGGAGGAGAAGGACUUGGCUGCGUGGGAGACCGUGACAUGUGAAGCUGGUGUCAAGACAGAGUGCUUUAUACUCGGAGAAACGACAGGGUCUGAUUGACAAGUGGGAAGACCAGAGAGAGAGGGAGAGCGUUGGCGGCUUCGGGAAAAGAUGGCGACAACGCUGCCAUUUCGUACUCUUCUUCUUAUCCACUCAAAUUUUGCAGGAGAGGCAAAAACUUCCCAGUAGUUGAGGACUUCAAGUCGGACACACUAACGCAACUUCCUCCUCAAUCAGUGAUGUCAUUAUUCAACUUCAUUGUUCACAUCUAGGAGAACAUUGUGCUUUGAAGAGGAGGAAUUGUCAACCCGUCAGGAACUAGCAAUCAUGGAGAGCACAAGAAACGAAUGGUUGAUGGUGAACGUCGAUGGUGAUGGACGACGAUGUUGGAGUCGCGAGUGGUUGUUGUGGAUGAGGAGAACGACGACGAUAGAUGAUAAUCGUAUUCCAAUUACGUCGACAUCGACACAGUUGUUGCGCGGUCUUUCAUCGUUCUGCAUUUGCAUUGACGUCGAUGUAAUUGUCAAGCAACAAAAGGAUUGCUCGACAUCUGUAUUAGCGCGCAAAUGUAGAUGCCGACGUAUAUGCAAAGUGGUGUCGUUUGGUAAUUA